rnacentral:lncRNA from 1 species
GCGCAAAGAGUUUGUCGUCCAUGGCUGGCGGCGGCGAGCCGUCGCGGUCUGCCUCCACCAUCGUCGCCAACACCGCGAGUGGGUACCACAUCCUCAGGAUCGAUGGAUACUCCCGCACCUUGGCGACUCCCACAGGAGAGUACAUCGCGUCCCUCCCGUUCACCGUGGGCGGCCUUCGCUGGCACAUUCGCUACUACCCCAACGGUAACAAGUCAGAGGACAAAGAUGGCAUCUCGCUUUUUCUUUAUCUCCACGACAGCGUCGCCAAGCCAGUGAAAGCGCAGUUCGGCUUCCGUUUCGUCGGCGACGUGGCGGAGCAGCCGUUGACACUGGGAGGAAUGCAUAUCUACGAUAACCAGAGUGCUUGGGGACGCCCCCAGUUCAUCAAAAGGGAAGUUUUUGAAGCGUCGAAGCAUCUGCUUGAUGAUUCUUUUGCCAUUCGGUGCGAUGUGGUCGUCACCACGGAAUUCCGGACGGAGGAGGCGCCGGAAGCCACCACUCCGGCCGAUAGUAUCUCCGUGCCCCCAUCUGACCUGCACCAGCAUCUUGGCGGCCUCCUGUUGAACGAAAAGGGCGCUGAUGUGGUGUUCGACGUCGCCGGUGAGACGUUCGCUGCACACCGGUGCGUGCUCGCAGCCCGUUCGCCUGUCUUCAGUGCAGAGCUCUUUGGUGCGAUGAAAGAGAGCAACGCCGGAGGUGGUGUGGUGCACAUAGAGGACAUGGAACCUCGGGUGGGCUUUGCUCUACUUUGUUUACACCGACUUACUCCCAAACACAAAGACAGCGAAAGAAGUGGAAGAGGCAGAUGUUGUAGAUGAUGACGAUGACGAAGAAGGCGUUUUUUCUCAGCACCUACUGACAAGAGAAGUGGAAGAGGGAGGCAUAGAUGAUGACGAUGAUGAAGACGUUUUGUCUCAACACCUCCUGGUGGCUGCAGACAAAUACAACUUGGAGAGGCUGAAAUUGUUAUGUGAAAGCAAGCUGUGUGAGUACAUCGAUGUGGGCACGGUAGCAACCAUACUGGCACUAGCCGAGCAACACCAUUGCCAUGAACUGAAGAAGGCGUGCUUCCAUUUUCUCAGCUCUCCUGCAAAUCUGAGGGCAGUUGUGGCCAGCGAUGGCUUUAAGCAUCUAAGCAGAAGCUGCCCCUCUGUUAUGGAGGAGUUGGUUGCCAUGCUCGGCAACUUAGUUCCAUGAUGCCUGGACUCGUUCUUAGCAACUGCAGUUGAUUGAAUUUCUGGGUCAGCUUCUAUUGUAGUCAAGUAGUUGUGAAUCCUAAGUUGCCAAAGUGUCAAGGAGAUCCUGAAGUAGUUUAAUUUCUUAGUGAUUUUCUGUUUAACUCUGACAAUCAACGAAUGAUUUCUUAUCUGCUAGCUUUGAAUCUCCACUAAGUCUUUCUAUGUGCUUGGCAUAUAGUAAUUUUCAGAAGUUGGAAUGCAAUAGUUCUUGUUACCUAGAACUCGAUUACUUCUCUGCUCGUUAAUCACGAUGCAUAUAUGCAUUGUUGUCAUGAUAUAUAUACACAGUAUCAUGUUGAAGUCGGUUCUUUUGUCCUUCAAGUCUAGGUUGGCUAAGCUGCUGAAAUAUCCCGCCCAGUCGAGGUUGUUAGGUGGCUUUGAAAAAUGCUAGUUGAUGGUUCCCACUUUCAGUUGAUGAUUUUCUGGGUCGGCUUCUAUUGUCAAGUGGCUUUGGAAAAUGCUAAUUGAUGUUUCCCACUUUCAAUAGUUGUGAAUCCCAACUCCUAAUUGGCAAGGAGAUCCUAAAAUAGUGUAAUUUGUUAAGUGUUUUUGUUAGUUGACUGCGUCUGUGCAACUCUACCAGUUCGUAACAGAUGAUUUUGUUAUCUGCUAGCUUUGAAUCUCCACUAGAAGUUCGUCUAUGUGCUUGACAUAUGAUGAUUCUCAGAAGUUGGACUGCAAUAGUUCUUUCUCUAAUUAAGUUAUAUGUUACCUUGAACUCUUUUACUUCUCUGCUCGUUAAUCCAGAUGCAUAUAUAUAUAUAUAUAUAUAUAUAUAUAUAUAUAUAUAUAUAUAUAUAUAUAUAUAUAUAUAUACAAGUGCUAUUCUACAUCCUAGGUGUAGAAUAUUAUUCUACACCAAAUUGUAUACUGAACAAAAUUCAGUAUCGUUCAGUACUUAUGUUUCAGUAUUUUUGUUCAGUAUUUUAUGGUCUUAGGUGUAGUAGUAAGUGAUACUGAACGCGGUUCAGUAGUACUCAGUAUUUUUUCUGCUCAGUUUUGACUUGUGGUGUAGAAUAAUAUUCUACACCUAGGGUGUAGAAUAGCGCUACCGUAUAUAUAUAUAUAUAUAUAUAUAUAUAUAUAUAUAUAUAUAUAAACUACAUUGUGUAUGUAUUCAUACUUGUUUAUCAGUUUGAGUAUGUUUAUAUACUCAUAUUAAGAUACUCAGGAUCUUACCACGCGAAAAUUUUUCAAAAAAAAUUAUAUUUUAAAUAUAUUACUAAAAUGCCACUACUAUAUUAUAUACAAUAAGUAUAACCAUAUACUCUAUGUAUGUAUGCAUACUUAACAUACAUAUCACUUUAGAUGGUCUAGUAUGAUCAUAUACUUUGUCUAUAUAUAUUUCGUCCGGUCAUAUACACCUUAAAUCUAGAGAUACAUAGAUGAGAGUAACUACACGCGCGUGUAAAAGAAACGCGUCAUAUAUAUAUAUAUAUAUAUAUAUAUAAUGAUGUCAGAGCAUUAGAUAUACACCCUUCAUAUCAAAUUAUAAGGCAUUCUAAGAAUUUUGGAGAGUCAGCAUUUAAGUUUGACCAAAAUUACAGAAAGAUAUGAGAUCAAGUGGAUAUGUUAUGAAAAUAUAAUCAAUGAAGAACCUAAUGAUACUUAGUUGGUAUCAUAAAUAUUAAUAUUUUAUUAUAUAAAUUUGGUCAAACUUGAGAUGCUUUGACUAUUCAAUAUUCUUGGAAUGACUUAUAGUUGGGAUGGAGGGAGUACAUUAUAUCACGCUGAAGUUGGUUGUUUUUGUCCUUCAGUCAUGGUUGCCUAUGGAGAUGGAGAUCACUAAUUUUGCUGCAACAUCUUUGCUUUUGAUGCAUUUCUGAUUUUAACACUGAACAUGCUAUUCCCUUCAGUCAUGGUUGCCUAUGGAGAUGAAGAUCACUAAUUUUGCUGCAACAUCUUUGCUUUUGAUGCAUUUCUGAUUUUAACACUGAACAUGCUAUUCCCGAGUCAGCUAGACGAUCUGGACGGAACAGAGGACAGUGCGAGCCUGAUCGGCGUGGCCCAUCUUUCGGUCCGAAUAAUACAAACUGGGCUGCUCUUAUGUAAAUCGGCCUAGAAAAAAAGAGCCCAACAGGCAACAGCAGCGGUAGGAAGCAAGUCAAGCCGGCGACGACCCAUCGCCUCCUUCGCCGUCCGGUCUUCCCCUUUCCGCGCCGCCGGUUCGUGCCAAACCCUACUCCCUCCACAAUGCAGUGGCGCCUAAGCUGAAAUCAGUGAAUCGUGCGCCGCGGCGAAGAGAGAACUCAACAGGAUUUGUGGGGAAGGAGGGGAGCAGGGUCAGAGACCGAUAGAGAUCAUCAGGUUUGACGUGUCCUCCAUGGCUGGCGGCGGCGAGCCGUCGCGGUCUGCCUCCACCAUAGUCGCCAACACCGCGAGUGGGUACCACAUCCUCAGGAUCGAUGGAUACUCCCGCACCUUGGCGACUCCCACAGGAGAGUACAUCGCGUCCCUCCCGUUCACCGUGGGCGGCCUUCGCUGGCACAUUCGCUACUACCCCAACGGUAACAAGUCAGAGGACAAAGAUGGCAUCUCGC